rnacentral:rRNA from 1 species
UGCAUUACGGGUACGGGGAUUAGGGUUCGAUUCCGGAGAGGGAGCCUGAGAAACGGCUACCACAUCCAAGGAAGGCAGCAGGCGCGCAAAUUACCCAAUCCCGACACGGGGAGGUAGUGACAAUAAAUAACAAUACGGGGCUCAUUUGGGUCUCGUAAUUGGAAUGAGUACAAUUUAAAUCCCUUAACGAGGAACAAUUGGAGGGCAAGUCUGGUGCCAGCAGCCGCGGUAAUUCCAGCUCCAAUAGCGUAUAUUAAAGUUGUUGCAGUUAAAAAGCUCGUAGUUGAACCUCGGGGUCUACCCAUUGGUCAGGCUUAAUUGUCUGCACUGGUGAGAUGGAUCUCUACCUUCUGAGGAACUUUCAUGCCAUUUAUUUGGUGUGAUGGGAAAUCAGGACUGUUACUUUGAAAAAAUUAGAGUGUUUAAAGCAGACUAUCGUCUGAAUACAUUAGCAUGGAAUAAUGAAAUAGGACGGACUGAUUCUAUUUCGUUGGUUUCUAGGAUCACCGUAAUGAUUAAUAGGGAUAGUUGGGGGCAUUAGUAUUCAAUUGUCAGAGGUGAAAUUCUUGGAUUUAUUGAAGACUAACUACUGCGAAAGCAUUUGCCAAGGAUGUUUUCAUUAAUCAAGAACGAAAGUUAGGGGAUCGAAGACGAUCAGAUACCGUCGUAGUCUUAACCAUAAACUAUGCCGACUAGGGAUCGGACGAAGUUAAUUUUAUAAUGACGCGUUCGGCACCUUACGGGAAACCAANGUNUUNNGGGNU